rnacentral:misc_RNA from 1 species
GUCGUAACAAGGUUUCCGUAGGUGAACCUGCGGAAGGAUCAUUACUGAGUGCGGGCUGCCUUCGGGCGCCCAACCUCCCACCCGUGACUACCUAACACUGUUGCUUCGGCGGGGAGCCCUCUCGGGGGCGAGCCGCCGGGGACUACUGAACUUCAUGCCUGAGAGUGAUGCAGUCUGAGUCUGAAUAUAAAAUCAGUCAAAACUUUCAACAAUGGAUCUCUUGGUUCCGGCAUCGAUGAAGAACGCAGCGAACUGCGAUAAGUAAUGUGAAUUGCAGAAUUCAGUGAAUCAUCGAGUCUUUGAACGCACAUUGCGCCCCCUGGCAUUCCGGGGGGCAUGCCUGUCCGAGCGUCAUUGCUGCCCAUCAAGCCCGGCUUGUGUGUUGGGUCGUCGUCCCCCCCGGGGGACGGGCCCGAAAGGCAGCGGCGGCACCGUGUCCGGUCCUCGAGCGUAUGGGGCUUUGUCACCCGCUCGAUUUAGGGCCGGCCGGGCGCCAGCCGACGUCCAACCAUUUUUCUUCAGGUUGACCUCGGAUCAGGUAGGGAUACCCGCUGAACUUAAGCAUAUCAAU